CCGGGUGCAGAAACAGACUUCAAGAAGGAGGAGAGCAGAAGGUAGCCGGCCAGAUUCCUGUGGUAUGUUCUCUCUUGGGUCCAGCUGCUUUGGCUCAGCAUCAUGUCCAUGAGGUCUAAACUUGAAACCAUUGGUCUGCCAAGUGGGGCAUGAGCCAUUCAGGAGGACGGCGUUUAAGUGGAAGUUCUACUCAUACCUGUAUUUUGUGUACAUUUUUAAAUGAAUGCAUUGUAUUAGUACCAUUGGAUAUGAAUAUAAUUUCUAAAUAAAGAUGUAUACUUAUUUUGGUGA